rnacentral:tRNA from 1 species
GGGGCAUUAGCACAGUUGGGAGUGCGUCACAUUCGCAUUGUGAAGGUCAGGGGUUCGAUUCUCCUAUGCUCCA